rnacentral:rRNA from 1 species
GAAUUCCAAGCUUUAAUCCUUGAGGGACCACCAGUGGCGAAGGCGUCUCACCAGAACGGGUCCGACGGCAAGGGACGAAAGCUAGGGGCACGAACCGGAUUAGAUACCCGGGUAGUCCUAGCCGUAAACGAUACUCGCUAGGUGUCGGCCACGGUGCGACCGUUGUCGGUGCCGUAGGAGAUCUGGAU